CGCAGCCAGUGGGAUUCGAACCUACGCAGGAAACCCCACUGGUUCAGGUCCAUCAACCACUCGGCCACGACUGCUCGGUAAAACAGCAUUAGUGCCUUGAUGAUAAGCGGGACAGUUCUUUACAAUUUAAAAUAUAUCCUCUGUGUAUGUGAAAAUUGAGAGUGCACUUGACCGGUAGGAUUCAGAACCUGCAGGGGAAACUGUGGAUUUCGAGUCCAUCGCCUUAACCACUCAGCCACGACUGC